rnacentral:lncRNA from 1 species
GGUAACGUUCGUUGUUAGUGUAGUUAUAGUGUUGUUACCCUCUUGUUUGCACGGAAUUUCAUCUAACUUUCCUUGCGCUUGCGCAACGGAAAACUCAAGAAUAAAAUUUCUAAAUUUUAUUAAUUUUCGUCUAUAAUGUAUCAUUUGUUGUAUUAUUUAUAUUCCAAAUAUUUCAAAUACACGUACAGAGAGAAUCAAUGAUUCUUAUUCAAUCGAGUUGAAGCUAGCAACAUGUCGAUUCCACACCGGAGGUUGGUAAGAACUGAGGGACAAUGCCCCCCUAACCUAAGCGGGCCUACCUGCGAAGCAACUGGUAGUUAAUUAGGCGGGGGGCGGUUUGGUUUCGUGCAACACCCUCGCAGCAGGAAGAGGCAGUUGUCAUUUGAAAGGAAACACCCUUUGUAUAGGGUUCCAGACCUGCGCACCCUGAUGAAAAAGCCCUAUAUAUUCUAUUAGUAAAGCCUAAACGUCCUUAUAGAAAACUAAAGCGCUAACGAGCAAGAAAAGACCCCUUACUAUAGAUAGGCUAAUGCGCCUUUACUAAUAACAUAGAAAGUAAAGGCUCUUCCCCUUUUCUACGAAUCUAUAACUCUCUUCUCUUUACUGAGCGAGACUCCAUCCAUAUCCCUUUCCUACUAGUGCUAGUGGGAUAUUCUUAAUUUUCUAUUCUAUCAUUUGUUUGAUAGCUUAAACUAGGCUCCAUUUUAGAUAGGUUUUCGGUCUUAAUCAAAAUAGGUCAAGGGCACAUCGGAAUGGUCGGUGGCUGCUUAGUCUCAUCCUAUAGUCUAAUCUCUUUGUACUGCUUUUUUUCAAAGAAAAAAAAAGAAAGAAGGGGGGUCGAUUUAGGCUCCUUCCCUUCCACUGCAUAGCUACGCUACCUGGUACUACGAGCCCUGUGUGGGACACUAAACCCACCACCCAGCGCUUGACAAAAAAACGCGAUAAACAACCUUUUAUUAUCCAGUUGUAGAGGAUUUUCGACAAUUUGUUGCACAAAAGCCUCGAUGGGUCAGAUGUACCGUUACCCCUCAUACCCCCUCGGAGGGGCUUACACGUCACUCACUCUCUC